GCACUCAUGGCGCAGUUGGGAACACUGGCGACUAACGGUCAGCAGGUCUCUGGUUCAAUCCCACUGUGUGCC